rnacentral:lncRNA from 1 species
AAGAUAUUUAAAGCAUUGAACCAGCGUUCUUUAAAAUUAUUUGGAUCAUCUUCAAAACUUUUGAAAUAGUUCCAUAAUGAUGACAUCGUAUUUUAUGAAUGGUCUAUCAUCAAUAUUAUUUUCAAAAAACGCUCAAACUUUUGUCUUUUGAGGAAAUAAUUUCUUUUACAAAACAAGUUUUCAUCAUAUUAUAUAACCGCAUCUGCUGGGUGAUUUACUUUUACGAGAUCGGCGCCCAUUAAACUUUAUCCAUCAAUGUUAUAUCAAAAUUUGAAUUUGCUCUCUGCCGAGGUCUGCUUUGACACCCAUUUUAUCAACCUGCUGGGCGAUCUGCUUUUACAAGAUCGAAUACUCCCAUAACAUAUUAAUAAACAUGAUAAAUUGAAUUCGGCUGCUAAAAUGUUUGCCACAUGUUGACAUAAUUAAAUCUUUGUUAAUAAAAUGCGAC